rnacentral:piRNA from 1 species
UAAAAUGAGCCCCACUGGCGAACAGAGUGU